AUGGAAGAGGAAGGCAUCCGAUUCGAUUUCGAGGAUGCUAUAGCUAAACACGAGUCGACUGUACAGCAAAAUCAAUUGUAUGGUUAUGAUGAUUGUAGAAGUAAUCAUCGAUUAGAAGAUUCUCACGUUUCUGAUCAAACAGCUUUCACAAAACGUUUUUUUCAAAAGAAAUAUAAGAGCCCUUAUAAUCGUGACAAAGCCACAGUAUGUUUAUACUGGAUUCGUGGCUUAUGCUGGAACGGCGAUUCAUGUGAAUAUCUUCAUGAAUAUGAUAUAAUGAAAUUGCCUCUUUGUUUAAACUAUAAAAAAAACGGUUAUUGUGAGAAUCAACAGAAAGGAUGUUGUUUAUUUUCUCAUGAACCCAUCAAAUCAAAUAAUGAUACCCCUAUUUGCAUUCAUUAUUUCUUAGGCUUUUGUAGAUCAGGACCUCGUUGUCGAAAAAAACAUGAAUUGCGUACUCCAGAUAAAUUACCGAAAUUACUACCUGAUUGGUAUCUUCAUUUGAUUUUAAGCAAUGCUCAAUCUGUUCUUCCUACGAUAUCAGAUCCGGAAACUGAAGCGCUUAUGCAGGAUGUAGAUGCAAUGUGUCGAAAUUUAGAAAAUUCGGGUUUUCCACGAAACGAUUCAGCUACGAAGAAAACAAAUCUGGAUUAUUCAACAAAUAAUACUUUCCACUCUAAUUUAAAUUCAACUUCUUCACAUGAAAAACUUUUUCCUACGACUACAGUUGAAUCAAUUUCUAAUAAUUCAUCGCCCAAUCAAGGUUCAGUACAACAAGACGACGCUGUUCAUUCGAAAUUCAGUAGAGUAUAUAUUAAUAAUGACUGCGUUAAAAGAGCUUUGGAGAAAGGAAUUCCUAACAUUCCCUAUAGUGGUGAUCCAAAAAAACAAGCAGAAACGACAAAAAUUUUUAUAAUCAAAUCGUCUUGCCUUGAAAAUAUUCACAAAUCUGUUCGUCUUGGUAUAUGGGCAACCGGAAAAUAUAAAACCUUACUACUUGAAACAACAUACAAGGAAUUUUCAAAUGUUAUACUCAUUUUCUCUGCUAAUUCCAGUGGAGGAUUUCAAGGUUACGGCCGUAUGCGAUCAACAACACUGAACAAUUUUUAUUAUGACGUAUGGGGUAACCUUUCCGUACGAUUAGGAAAAAAUUUCAGAGUUCAAUGGAUUAAGCAAUGUAAAACAAGUUUUGCACAAAUAGGUCAAUUAGUGAAUCCUCUAAAUGAAAACCAAUUGGUUCGUAAAUGUCGUGACUGUCAGGAAAUUCCAUUUGUAGAAGGGAGUCUUUUAUGUAAUGUGCUUGAUCAAUCCCCUUCGAUAGAUUUAUUGAAAGAGAAUGCUGCGUACAAUGGAAAAAUUCGGUUGGACCAUACAACAUUUUUUGAUUUACCUGCAACAGAGCAAAAAAAAAUAGAGAAUGAAUUACAACGUUCUCAAAUAGAAAUCGAUUCAAAUACUCAAGUAGAAGAUUGUUCAACUACAACAAAAUCACCUCUAUCAGCAAGAAAUAUCUUGUAUGACACAAAUUUUGAGUUUAAUGUGCCUGAGGAUCCCCAACAAUUAGGAAGUGUAUGUGAUGACGAAGAGUCAAUUUUUUCUUCUCGUAAUUCAAAAAAAAAUGCUUUUUUUUCAUUCCAUUCAAUUAAAUAAUACAUUUUUUUUUGACGAACAGUGUGGAGAAUUUUUUUCCUUAAAAUGUAUUUGAUAAUUACCAUUUUUCAGUGAGACUCUGAAUUUGAGUUUAAAAAAAAAACUUUUAUUUCGAGGAGGUAGAUAAAAAAAAAAGUAGGUAUUUUCUUUUACAAGGUAUUCUGGAUAUUUAAAAUGUGUGCAAUAAAUUUUUUUUUCUUAUAACCAAUGGAAUUUUGAUUUCGAAUAAUUAAUAUAUACCAACCUCAUAAAUUAUUAUUAAAAGUACUAGAUUACAUAUUCAACAAAAAAAAUAACGAAAUUCACAAGUAACGUAUUGCCCAAAUUUAUUAUCAAAAACUUUAAUCUCAUAGCUCCCGACCGUCAUACACAAACCGGCUAGAAAAAGAAAAAAUCUUUUUUUAAUUUUAAAAGUUGAAAUUACAAUUUGUUUUUUUCCUUUCAAUCUUCAAAUAAUUAUUUCACUAUAUUACAUGCUACUGUCACUCUCCAUUAUAAGCUCAUUGAUACUCGUUUGCUCUUCUGUUGCCAUAAGUUCUAAAGACACUCUGCCCUCUUUGGAUUUAAUUCAAAAAUUUAUUGGUGGACUAUCCCAAAAAUUACCAAUGCUGGCGCAAUCUCCAUCUGCGUUACUGGAACAAGAUUUCUAUUCUAGUAUGAAGGAACACCAGGAUGUGUCUCAGACAACUCGACUUUUGGAAAAUGAACUUGUCUCUUUACAACAUACAAUAGGAUAUAUAGAUAAGCUUACUGCAGAACAACGGCGGGACAUAACAUUGCAUAUUCAACGACGAAAACUUCAGGUAAUGGGCUCUUCGUGAUUAAAACUAGAAUUGUUUUUUGCAGCUUGCUUCAGUUAUUUCUCGAACGGCCAAAAUAUUACGAGUUGCUUACACUCUGGCAUAUCCAUCAAAAAAAGAUGAACCUAUCAUUAUAAUUCCCAAAACGUCGUCUGAUAUAGAAAUCGAAAAGGCGUUCAUGAUGCUAAAAGAAGCGCCAACGCGAAAACAACAAAAAUGAAUUUCAGGAACAAAUUGACAGAUUACAGGAAUUACCUUUAAAUGAUCGUUCGGCAUUUGACAAAGAGAAAAUACAGUAUUGGAAUUACAAAGCAGAAGAAGCUAAGAAAUUUUUACAAUCAUAGCAAUAUAUCGAUUUAAAGACUGGUGUAAGGUUUUCUCAUAUCUUUUUCUCGCUUACCAAAAUGCGAAGAAUAGAAAAAGGUGUCGUAAAAAUCUAUUUUUUGAGGAUUCUCCAUUAAUAAAUUUUUUAAUGAUGAAGCAAAAUAAUUGAAAAAAGAAUUAGUAACUUUGU